rnacentral:piRNA from 1 species
CNCACUGCUGAUGGGCAGAAGCCAGGGGA